rnacentral:lncRNA from 1 species
AUAGAGAAAUUUAACAUGUGCACUUACAUAUUUUUAUAACGACAAAAUAGGUUCUGCAUUUAAACGGACACUCGAGUGGGCAUAUCGGGACUUCUGGAUGAUGUAGAGACGAUUUGUAAGUAGUUUCUUCGUUGAUCACUUGUGAAGUGAACUCUUUUUGCAUCAAACUUCGACUCUCUGCUUUUCCAAUACUUGAAAAUGUAAUUUCUACAAAAUUUAAGUUAUAAAUUUAUCAUAUAGUAGAAAUACUUUAUCAAAUUGCAAAGAUUAUUACAUUUACGCCGAUCAGUAUAAUCAGUAAAAUUUCAUAUCAUACAAAAGAAUUUUUUUUUUACCAGAAAUAAGAGCCAAGAAGAAAAAUAAAGUGAAGGUCUUCAGAAUAUUUUUCAUAAUUAUGGGCGGAUUUGUUAUAAAGAGAGGACUACAAAAGGAAAUCAAAUGUUGAC